GAUCACAAUGGCCCUCUGGUGUCCCAUCUUUCUCUCUCAAACUGUCCUUUUCUCAAUCCUUUGACUCCGCCGGACUUUGUCACCCCCACAACCUGGUUUUGGGUCUGGCCACCCCAACAUUAAUCUAACCAUGAGAAAAACACCAAAUCAUCCCAAAUUAAGGAUGUUGGAUAAAGUGCCUAUCCAAUACACAAAACCGUCAAGUUGGUGAAAAACAAAGUCUGAGAAACAGUCACAGUCAAAAGGAGCCAAAAGAAAUCUGAAUACUAAAUGUUAUCUGCUACCUUGGAUGGGAUCCUGGAACAGAAAAAAAAAAGAGGCAUUUUCCCAACGCAAAUGGCAGCAUAAGCAUCUGAGAAUCUGAGCAGCCCUUGCAAGCACCUCACAGAAGCUGAAGAAACAAAAGUUGGAGUUCAGGACCUAUCAAUGUGGAGGCAUUCUAGCAAUGAACUCUAGAUUUAAGAUGGGUCUCCCAAACAAAUGAAAACAAACUGUGAAUAAAACAUUACUUUCAGAAAAUAAAAGCAGUCACUGAAUGACCUCAAUCAUUGACCUUAGUAUGAACAUUUGCCUUUGUCUUAGCUAUGGCUGAAAAGCUGAGCAUGGUUGCCAGUCCCACACUUAAGACAAAAAGAGGAGCUCAGGAUCUCUAGGAGGAGGGCAUUGUUAAAUACUCUUGUUUUUCAGUUAGUCUUAUAAAAGACUCAACAGGGGACUGAGUAUGAAGUGGAAAAAGAGAGAAAACUGAUAAUAGAAAUAAACCCAAAGGAGAUCCAGAUAAUGGAAUAUCAGAUCUGUCCUUUAUAAUACCAGUAUUUAACAUGUUGAAUUAAAUGGAGAAAAUAUAGAAAUUCAGCAAAGAAUGGGAAUAUAAAAAAGGAACACAAAUGGAAAUUUCAGAUCUGAAAGAUAUAAUAACUAAAGCCAAGAAACCAAUAGAAGAGUUUAACAGCAGAUGAGACAGCCUGUAUUCUCUCCAAAAAAGAAAAAAAGACUAAUGAGGUGGAAGAUAGUUCAUUAGAUCCAGAUUCAAGCCUAGAAAGAGAGGAGGGGAAAAAGGAUGGAAACUAUACUAACGUGCUUAAGAGACAUAUGGAAUGUGUUAAAAAUGCUUAACAUCAUCUUUAAAAAUAGAGUCUCAGGAGGAAAUGGAAAGAAAAGGGUUCAUAAGCAAUAUUUGAAGGAAAAUAAAAGAUAAUCUUCCAAAAUUUGAAAGACAUUAAACACUGAUUCAAAAAAUAUAAUGAAUCACAUGCAAAAUAAGUGGAAAGAAAACAACUACUAGGGACAUUUUAGGAUACCAAAGUUUUAAAAAAUAUUAAAAAGCAGGCAGAAAGAAAAACAUAGAUCCCUUACCUACAAGUAAUAGAACUGACAGCUGACUUUUCUAUAGAAACAAUGAAAUCAGAUGAUAAUAUAACUGAAUUUUCAUAAAACUGGUAACAGGGCACUAACUUAGAAUCUGAUUCCAAGAGAAAAUGUGCUUCACAAGUGAAGAUGACAUAAAGGCCAUUUCAGAUACGUGAAAAUGAAGAAAACUGAUUACUAAUGGAUCCAUACUAAU